rnacentral:rRNA from 1 species
AGGAUUAGAUACCCUGGUAGUCCACGCCGUAAACGAUGAGUGCUAGGUGUUAGGCCCUUUCCGGGGCUUAGUGCCGCAGCUAACGCAUUAAGCACUCCGCCUGGGGAGUACGACCGCAAGGUUGAAACUCAAAGGAAUUGACGGGGGCCCGCACAAGCGGUGGAGCAUGUGGUUUAAUUCGAAGCAACGCGAAGAACCUUACCAGGUCUUGACAUCCCGAUGCCCGCUCUAGAGAUAGAGUUUUACUUCGGUACAUCGGUGACAGGUGGUGCAUGGUUGUCGUCAGCUCGUGUCGUGAGAUGUUGGGUUAAGUCCCGCAACGAGCGCAACCCUUAUUGUUAGUUGCCAUCAUUCAGUUGGGCACUCUAGCGAGACUGCCGGUAAUAAACCGGAGGAAGGUGGGGAUGACGUCAAAUCAUCAUGCCCCUUAUGACCUGGGCUACACACGUGCUACAAUGGCUGGUACAACGAGUCGCAAGUCGGUGACGGCAAGCUAAUCUCUUAAAGCCAGUCUCAGUUCGGAUUGUAGGCUGCAACUCGCCUACAUGAAGUCGGAAUCGCUAGUAAUCGCGGAUCAGCACGCCGCGGUGAAUACGUUCCCGGGCCUUGUACACACCGCCCGUCACACCACGAGAGUUU